AGCUUUGCACAGUGGCAGUAUCGUAGCCAAUGAGGUUUACCCAAGGUGCGAUUAUUGCUAAUUGAAAACCAAAAGGUUCUUGGUCACAAAUUUUAUAACCAAAUAUAAUCUAGAAAUUAGACUAACGUUU
ensembl:snRNA U4 U4 spliceosomal RNA